CCUACAUUAACUGGGUCAGCACGCACUUACAAACUCAUUCUCUAACCCAAGUCACUCCAGGAAGCAGCUGAAACAUCUUUUCUCAGAGAGGCAUACAUUUUCACAUCUUUUCAUUUUAAGUUUGUUCCCAGUGGGGAUUUUUUCCCACUUCUACCCAAGAAAUCCUGUUACUGAAAAUUCUCGCAUCAGUUAUCUCAACCACAAAUGGAAGUUGUUUCUGCACAAAUCCCUAGGCAGCUGAGUAGAUUUGAUUCUCUUGUGUAUAAGAUCCAACGAUAGAGCACUGCAGAGACCUGGGCUCUGUGCCUGGAUCUACCACUGAUACCUCGAGUUACCUUGAGCAAGCCCUCUGCCUUUCUGGGUUCCUGUGGUCUUACCUGUGAAAAGAGGCAGCUAGAUCUAGCUACCAAUGAAAGCGACCUUUCAAACUAUAAUUUUGAAGCAAGCAGAAACGAAAGUUUAAGUUUAAAGGCAGACGGCCACAUGCACCACUGGUGGACGUCCCUCUUGACCUUCCUACCAGCAGGCACGGCCACUUUUGUACAAAAUAAGUCAAUCCUUGGCUGUGAAUGGGAGACGAAGAGAUGGGUUGGAGGAUGGCGAGGAGAAAAGCAAAUAAUGGACCAUAAAUGGUGCCAACACGAGUGGUUCCAGGAUUCUACCCUGAGCACAGGAAACAACUAGAGUCCAUCCCCCACCGCGCCUCCGCACUACUCCCCGGGUAUUAAAAAUUCUGAGCCAGUCACAGACCUUUAACAAGGUCAAGAGCACUAAAUGCCUUAUCUUUAUGAGGGCAACACAUUCCUAAAUUGACAUGAAAGACCUGGCUGUGUUUGGCCGGCACUGGUGUUUAUGGAGACACAACUGCCAUUCAAGCAUGCGAGGAAUGAUACGUCAUACCAAGACCGUCCUACAAGGAUCCCUAAGCAGUGCAUGGAUGGUGGAGAAGGGAGUUGCCCCAGGGUGAAGGCUUCCCUGGGCUCUGACAGGGGUUACUGGAUGACUCUGCAAAUAUUAAAUAUAGCUGCAUGAAUCACACUACAAAAUUCCAGGCCUGAAAUCUGGUGUCAGGCAUAACAAUUUGUUCUCCCUCCCUUGCUCAUGAAUAGCAAAGAAUCAAUUGAAGAAAUUUUGGUCUGUUUAGAGAGCACUCGUGUUUUGUUCCUCCCUCUGGAACACACGUUCUGCAUUUGACAUGACACAUGCUUCUCAAGUGUUAUUUUGUGUUUAUUAAUCUUUGAACUGAAUUGCCAGUCCUUCAACUAGAAAGACAUUUUCCCAGAACCCUCCUGACUCAUGCUAAGGGUACACAACAGCUGAUAAACUCCAGUGACCUCAGAGGAGACAGAUGGGCCAUGUGGCUUCUAACACCCACGUGGCUGUCUGGACCAUGGAUGACAGCAUAGCCCAGGUUAAGCUGGUUGGCAGAAAUGCUCAGGACUUUUCCACAUUUACCAAGCUGAAAAUAGUGGUUAUGUCACCUGCUCUUCCAUUCUGUCACAUCACUUUCCGUAUUAUCACCUUCUUUACCACUAUCCCUCCUUCCUUGCGUGCGUCCGUGCAUAGUUUUCCUUAUAAUUACAAAAUAAUAUGUGCUCAUUGUAAUAGUAACAAGAGCUAACAUUUAUUGAUUGCUUAUAUGGUGAACUCUGCUAAAAGCUUAAAAGUAUGAAUUCGUUCAUCUUCAGCAAUUCUGUGGGAUAGGUAUUUUGAUCUCCAUGUUGCAAAUAAGAAAAGCUUGACCAUGAAGGGCUCAGAAAGUUUAUCACCCAACCAUCCUUUCUGAAAAUAUUUCCUUCGGGGGGGAAAAAGUAAUUCAAGAAAGAUAAUUAAAUUCAAAACAUGAAAAAG
rnacentral:lncRNA from 10 species